UUUUUACACAGGCAGUUGAGUUCCAUAGACUAUGGCAUUUUAUUUUUCAGGCAGAGAAACUUUUUUUUAAUUGUAUACACAGACACGUACACAUACACACCCGCCUUACGUCAUGAAAACGUAAUCUCUAGCGUAAGUUUGAACUAGCGUAAUCACAAAGCAACUUCAUUUUCAUUUUCAGUUUUGGAAAUCCACUGCAGGGGAAGAGGGACUUAUUUCUUUACUCUGCCAGCCCUCCAUCCACUACCACUCUCUGGGAUUGACUUCUGAACCUCCUGAUGGGGACAAAGGAGAGAAGAGAGCAUUCCGAAACAGUGCAGCUGCUCCCUAACCAUGGCCCCAACUCUGUCUGUCCUUCAGGUCUGCAAGUCAGCAGCAAAUAUUCCCAUCCCCAAGACAAGCUAAGUAUCCAUUUGUGGGAAAAUAUUGAUGGCCUGGACUAAGGCAGUAGCAACGAGGAAAGACCAAAGGCCGGCAUGGGAGAGAAUGUCAUUAAGGGGGACAGAUCAACAGCACGUGGUGCCUGAUUGGAAAUACGGAGGAAACCAUGGAAAAGAUGCAAUCAUUUCCUCGCAUAUGGUACAUAUGGAGAUGGAAUCAUUACAGGACAAGUGGAGAUGCAAUCAUUAUGCUCUAUAUAAACCCAUUUUCAUGGCAUGACACAGCAGAUGAAGAUGGGACCCUUUCUUUGCUGGAAGACCUAUUCCCAGUUAGGUUUCAAAUGAUAUGCUUAUUGCCCUAAACAAGAAUCAGGUCCUACAGGUAUUUUUUAUGUUGCAUAUGAAAAUGUGAACAUUACCUUUGAGAAUGUGGUAGAAGUGAUGCAAGCAAGUUCCAGGCAUAUGUCUUAAUCAAUCUUACAGUUUCCACUGUAUACCUUUUUUUCCCUGAAAUGCCUCAAGAGGACACCUGGGAUAGACUCCUUAAGCACAUGAGGCCACGUGGGUAGAGAGACCCCGAAAAAUGAAAGACCAAGAGAGAAGAAAGGAACCCAAGCAGGCCCCAGCCAUUCUAGCCAUUCCAGUUGAGGUGCUGGACCUGUGAGGGAGGCCACCUUAGAUCAUCCAGGUCGACUGGAGCUUCCAACUGACUUCAAACACGUGAGUGAGUCCAGCCAAUGCCACAUAGAGCAGAGACAAGCCACCCAGCUGAGCCCAAUUCCAAUUAUAGAAUCACAAGCAAAUAAUUUAUUGUUGUUAUUUUAAGCCACUAAGUUUUGGGGUGAUUUGUUACAUGGUAAUAAAUAAGUAAAAUAACUGUGCA
rnacentral:lncRNA from 1 species